rnacentral:rRNA from 1 species
UACAGAGGGUGCGAGCGUUGUCCGGAAUCACUGGGCGUAAAGGGCGCGUAGGCGGCUUGAUAAGCGUGCGGUGAAAGCCCGGGGCUCAACCCCGGGUCGGCCGUGCGAACUGUCGAGCUGGAGCACUGUAGAGGCAGGUGGAAUUCCGGGUGUAGCGGUGGAAUGCGUAGAGAUCCGGAAGAACACCGGUGGCGAAGGCAGGUCUCUGGGCUGACACUGACGCUCAUGCACGAAAGCGUGGGGAGCAAACAGG